GGCUGCCUCCCUAAUCAUCAUACUGAAAUGUAGUUGUCACUGUAACAGUAGCCACUGUGCCUUAUGACCACUGUGUGCUCAAUGCCCCACAUAGCACCCAACACACACUGGGUCUACACCAACGUGGCCAGACUGAAAAAAGAGGGGAUAGAUGAGGCUCAGGGUCAGUGAUGGAUAAUUUACUGAAGUCAUAGGAAGACAAAUGUAAUAAGGUAGAAAUAAAGUCAGACCCUCUGUCAGUCUCCAUCCAGGAGGGCUUGAAAGGGCCCAGCAGCUGCCCAGUGACAACUGUCAUCGCUCACCCAGUGAUCUGUUAAUCAGGGCAGGUAGCAACAUCCCUGUUCCUACCCACUAGAUGUCAGUAGCAACCUCCAAUCCUUCCAGUUGUGACAACAGAAAUGCCAGGAGAUGUCAAAUAUUCCCCACAGGACAGCAGUGCCCCACUGAGAUCCACGGAGUUACAGUGACUUCAUUGCACAGCUGUUCCAUCAGGUCCCAGAUACUACCCCAUGACAGGACCUGGGAGAGCAAAAGCAAAGCCUUGGAAUCCCUGUGAGUUAUCCAUGAUCUCACGAAAUGCCGGACAGACGCAACCUAAUAAAGAAAAGAAGACAUACUUUGGCCCACAGUUUAAGGAUUUGGGGAUACCACCACCGUGGCUGCAGUAGCUUGAGAUAGUUAGCCAAGCACUGCAUCUGCAGCCGGGAAGCAGAGAGAUGGACGCCUGUGCUCAGCCUGCUUUGCUUUGCCUGGUCCAGGACCGCAGCUGAUCUCAAGCACCCCUACAGUUAGGGCUUCCAAGUGUAACUGGCUUGACCCACGCUACCAUCUCGUCAGCAAGAACGCACGCAGGACACUCGGAUCCGUCUGCAGUAAAGCUUUAAUGAAUCUCAAGAGAUAGAUGAUCAGCUUCAGGAGAGGAGACCCAGAGAGCAGAAAACCCUUCCCUUAUAUAGGCUGCGAAGUAAGUUUGGAGACGUGCACUAGCCGGAUUGGCUGCCCACCAUCAGCCAGAUGACGCCAUGGGAGAGGCAGGGCUCAGGUAAUGGAAAGAUACCCUGACGCCUGCGCACACUACUUGUUUUUCACCACGAGCAACAGAUGUCAGCGCCAUUUUGUAAUGGCGACCGUGAGGGCGGCUCCUCACACUGGCUAGUUUUGUGUCAACUUGACACAGCUGGAGUUAUCACAGAAAAAGGAGCUUCAGUUGAGGAAAUGCCUCCACGAGAUCCAGCUGUGGGGUAUUUUCUCAAUUAGUGAUCAAGGGGGAAAGGCUCCUUGUGGGCGGGACCAUCGCUGGG
rnacentral:lncRNA from 1 species